AUUGAACGCUGGCGGCAUGCCUAACACAUGCAAGUCGAGCGAGCGGCGGACGGGUGAGUAAUGUCUGGGAAACUGCCUGAUGGAGGGGGAUAACUACUGGAAACGGUAGCUAAAACCGCAUACCAUCAGAUGUGCCCAGAUGGGAGUAGCUAGUCGGUGGGGUAACGGCUCACCUAGGCGACGAUCCCUAGCCGGUCUGAGAGGAUGAACAGCUGCACGGGACCGGAGACACGGUCCAGAGUCCUACGGGAGGCAGCAGUGGGGAAUAUUGGGCAAUGGGCGCAAGUCUGAAGCAGCAAUGCCGCGUGUGUGAAGAAGUCCUUCGGGUGGUAAAGCACUGUCAGCGGGGAGGCGGUACCCGCAGAAGAAGCACCGGCUAACUCCGUGCCAGCCGCCGCGGUAAUAC
rnacentral:rRNA from 1 species